GGCUGAAACAUUUAAUUUGCUUAUCCAUUCAUCCACAGGUGGAAACUGGAGUUUCUUCCACCUUUUGCCUAUUGUGAAUAGUGCUGCUAGGAACAUGGCUGUACAAAUACCAGUUCAAGUCCCUGUGUCAAUUAUUUUGGGGCUCCUGAAGAGCAAGUGCCAAACAGGCCUUUGAGAAAACGACCCUCAGUGGAUGCAGGUCUCUCCUCACACUCAGCUCACAGCUUCACCAGGAACACAGCCAAGGCUGAACCCCACCAUCAGCGCCCCUCCUCUCAGCCUGCACCAAUCAGCAAAGGCUGGUGACACCCGGAGGGACAGAAUGCCCAGGAAUGCCCUCCAGCCCUUGCAGCGUCCAGAGAAGAAGGUUGCCUCCCUCUCUUUGUGGCUCUGCUAAGAUCUCAGAGAAGACAAGGGGAAAAUCAAACUAGCAGGCUCUGGAGGAGAUGCUGGUCAGGGACCUGCCACUGAAAGCCUGUAUACAACCAUGCCCGUGUCCAGGUGGCUGCAUAUAACCAUGCCCAUCUGCUGUCAGCCAAUCUGCUAUGCCCCUGCGGCCACGCACCUGUCUAAGGCCACCCUCACUCAACCUUGGAUUCCAGCCCCUGGUGUAGCCCAAGGCCCUCACUCUGUGCUGGGUGCUCUCUCUGCCUGAUUGGCUUCUCCUCUGCUGAGGCAUUCCUCCCAGUGCACAAACAUGUUUUACUACCUCCCUCUUAAAAAAGAAAUCCCUUGGAACUAGAUCGCCCUUCGGCUAUCACCCUACUUAGCUUCUUUCUUUUAGAGUCAAAUUCCACAAAAGAAUUAUUAUCACAGUCACUACCUCCUCUCCUCCUAUCUUUUCUUGAACACUUGAAAACUGGGCUUUGCACUCCAUGACCCCCGCUAAAAUGGCUCUUGUCAAGCGUCACAAUGAUACCACCAGUCAAUCCUCAGUCAGUCCUCAUCCUCCCCCAUUGGUCCGAAGCAUUUGGCCAAGUGCUUGCUCCCUCCUUCUAGAAAUACUUUCUUCUCUUGACUCUCUACCCCUCUAAUGCCUGUUUUCAGUCUCCUGGACUCGGUCCCCCUUAGCACAGGAGGUCGCCCGGGCUGCAGCCUAGGGCCUCUUCUUUGCUCUGCCUGCACUCAUGCAAGGGUGAUCCCUUCCCCUCCCUGCUUUAAAUACUGUCCAUAGGCUGAUGUGUUUGGAUCCUGGCUAAGACUGUGCCUAGCAGGGUGAUUGUGGAUGGGUCAUUUCACCCCUCAAAUGUAAAAUGAGGUUUCUAAUAGUACUCCAUCAUAGAGUUAUUAGGAGGGUUAAAUGAGUUAGUAUUUGUAAAGCAUUAAAACAGUGGCUGCUGGGUUUAUUAAAUAAGUGCUCUUCCACACUUCUUUCCCUAGCCAACUUCAGCUCCCCCUGUAGACCUCGGUGUGCGUGUUUCUUCUAGAUAUCUGCAGCACCUCCUCCAUGGUUACGCUGAGAGGACUGUGGUCAAUGCAUUAUUACCUCUGUGACUGCUGACUUUCUCUCUCCACUGUGCAUACAUUCCUGGAGAGCAAGGACGAGGUCUCCCGUCAUUCCUGCUCUGUCCCCUGCACCCAGGGUGAUGCGGUCAGGGUAGCACCUCCAUGAAUAGUCACUGGACGAAUGAACGACCAAAUACCUGAAUGGAUGGGCUUUGCAGCGACUGCUGCAUGCUGGGGACUUAACGAAGGGCAUGGGCCUCUCCCAAGGAAGAAGCUGCAGAAGGGUCUUGGGAAGGACAUGCAGGAGAGCCUGGGCCAUGGAGGAGGCUGAGAAACAUGUCACCCAUGACCACAGCAGAGGCUGCUUUGUCCCUCUGUCCCUCCAUGCCUGCUCCUGUGCCCUGGAUGACGUGACUUUAUCCCACAGGAAUGACUGGCGUUCCUGAGACACCUGACACUUGGUGGCUGAGCAGAGCCCCAAGCUAGCCUUCAAGGGGCAGGACCAGGGGUUACUGUUUAUACUCAGAUCUGGAACUCAGUAAUGAGCUGGUGUUCCUUUCUGAAAUGACCGACUCCAGGAAGCUUAUGCCAUGGAGGCGGUGAGAGCAAGGUGUGCCAUCAGGCCAGCCUGGGUCUGAAUCAUGACCCCACUGCUUGUCACCCGUAACCUCAGGAAGAAAUGGUUUUAACUCUCUGAUUCUUGAGUCGCAAAAUAAUAUUCCCAGUGCCGUUGGGAAGGCAAAAUGAGGCACUGUGCUUAGUAUAUUGUAGAAAUGCAAAUGUUUACUUCCUUACCUCUAACAUGGACUGGAAUUCUUCCAUAGGUAAUGAAAAUGGCAGAUAUUAAGAAGCUCUAGAAAGGAGUGAAGCUUUUACCUUUUGUCCGGUCAUAAAUUACACGUUUGACCUUGGAUAGGAUGAAUACAAGCAUGAUUCAAUUCACUUCAACUCAACUCAAGGAAAAACUAGUUAUAUAUAUGUAUGUAUAGUUAUACAUAUUUACAUUUACUGCAGGCACAGAUAUGUGCUACAGCCCAAGAAGAAGAUGGUGAAAUUCCAAUUUCAUACCUCUCUCUUCUUCUUUCUCUAGAACUUUGUAUAUAAAGCAACAAAGCACUUCUUAAGGUCUUUAGCGUCCUGCUCUGCUAAUCCUAUGAUUCAGAUGGGACGAGCCUGCAGUGGGUAGGAAAUUAAUCUUGUUGAGCACCAACACUGCCGGCGCCUUCACUUGCUUUCUGAUGAAAUCUCCACCCCCACCCUGUAAUGCAGGUCUUCUGAACACGGAAACAAAGCCCCAUCUCUAGAAUCCCAGCAGACAGGGCCUCCAUGAAGGACUGGAAAAUUCCAGCGCCUCAGAGAACACUUAACCUGUCAUGAGUGUGGGUGGAGGAGGCGGGAGGGGAUACUGGCAGAUCUUUAGAAGUCCUCAGCUCUAAAGAUAUGGCAUUGUCUGCAAUGUGAUUCAAGAGAAAAACAUAACAGACUCAUAAAAUGCAAAACUUACAUGUAUGCUGAAGUUAAAAUGGCUUCUUCUGGAUAUUUCUGAACACAAAAUUCUGGAUAAUUUUAUCAAAGGUGCAUUUUCUCAUAGCUCUGGAACCUCUGCUUUGCUGCUGCCCUAAUGAGGCCCUUGGUCUGCCCACUGGACUAGGCAGCAGCCAGCCUCUGCUGUGUUCCAUGAGAUUGAGGGGUAAGCGAGCUUAGGCAAGGCCAGCUACUUCCACCGUCUCCCCGCUCCCCACCACUGGAUAAGGAGUUGAUUUUCUCUAAACAUUUCAUACAGGCACCCCAUAUAAGCACUAUUUACAGGGCACUCAGAGAAUCAGAAAAACUGAUGAGGCCCAGGACAUAGAUAGAUAGAUAGAUAGAUAGAUAGAUAGAUAGAUAGAUAGAUAACUAGAGAACUGUUUCAAGGGCACCAAGUGUGAUUACAUGUUCAAACCUGUCUUUGUUUAUUUUUCCCCCUCUCACAUGAAAAGAAAGACAGAUGUGUACCUUCUCUAUGAGUUGGUGCAACGUCUGGGUUCAGGUAGAAAAUCCUAGGCCCCCUUGAAUACACUCCCAGAGCUCAGUGGGUUCCUUGGAAAAUCUGUUGACAAUUUCCUGUGAUCUUGGAUCCAAAUGCUAUUUUCCAAAAGGCCUUAUGAUCAUGAUUUUAAGCAUCUCUGGAAACAUAUUGAAAGAACACACUCAAAAUAAUAUUCAGCCUCGACACCUUAACAAUUUCAGGACACAAUGGCAUAGUGCUCAUUCUUGGCAAGGAUGUGAGGAAAUAGGAAUUGUCAUAAACUUUUGGAGGGAGUGUAGAUUGAUAGCUUUCUUUUUUAGAGCAACUUCUAAAAUCUAUCAACAUUUUAAAUAUACAAAUAUCACCUUAGGUUAUUUCAUGCCUAGAAAUGUAUCCUACAGAGAUCCAUUCACACAAGGGCUCAAAGAUACGUGAGCAGAGAUAUUCAUUUGUAAUCAUGUUUAUCACAUUUUUAAAAACUGGAAAUAACCAAAAUGUCCACUAAUGAGUUAAAUAGUAUAUGGUGUAUCUAUUAUGUGGUAUACUACGCAACAGUUUAAAAAAGUAACAUGAAAAUCUGUGUACAUGAACUGACGUGAAAAGAAGCCCACAGUCAUUCAUUAAGUUAGAAACACAAGUUUUCAAACAGUAUGAACUAAAUCAUGAGUGUGUUGGUUUUUUAAGUAUUUAUAUAUAUGUUUGUCUAAGCAUAGGAACAUCCAGAAGAGAUCAUUCACUGCGGGGAGGGGAUUUUGGUGGUGGAAAAGAGGUAGAGGGUUUGAGAAUGGGAACUUUUACUUUUUAUUCUUCUAUAUCAAAUUUAUAAAUUUUCAUAUAUGAAGCAUAUGUCAAUUUCAAAAUAAAGGUGGGGUUUUUUGUUUUUUUGUUUGUUUGUUUGUUUGUUUGAGUUGGAGUCUCACUCUGUAGCCCAGGCUGGAGUGCAGUGGCACAAUCUCAGUUCACUGCAACCUCUGCCUCCCGGGUUCAAGCAAUUCUCCUGCCUCAGCCUCCCAAGUAGCUGGGACCACAGGCAUGUGCCACCACGCCCAGCUAAUUUUUGUAUUUUUAAUGGAGAUGGGGUUUCAUCAUGUGGCCCAGGCUGGUCUCAAACUCCUGACCUCAGGUGAUCAGCCCACCUCAGCCUCCCAGAGUGCUGGGAUUACAGGCAUGAGCCACCGUGCCUGACCAUUUUUUUUUUAAGAAUGUAUGGAGGCCCUUGGCAAUGGACCUUCUGAAGGUUUUCUAUCACCACCACAUAUGCCACAACUACUAGGUUGGUGCAAAAGUAAUUGCGGUUUUUACCAUCACUUACUGCAAUUACUUUUGCACCAACCUAAUAGUCAUUGCCACCAUUUCAAGUUCCAGACUCCUCCAAGUAUAACUGAACCUGCCGCCUUCAGAAACAGCAUCAUGAUCGGCUGCUGCAGGUGAGCGAGGAUGUUCAGAGCUCUGUCGGCUUGCUGGGGACAGAAAGAGCUUGGCAAUUUACCGAGCGUCCUCACAAUCUUGCCUUGCAGCAGACUUCAGGACUGGCAGGACAGUCUCGCAGGGAAUUCUUCUUCCCAUUUCUCCAGGGGAGGCUUGCACACGUUACGGACCUUGGUCCCAGUCAUGACUGGAAAGUCAGAGAGCCACAAGUGGAUCUGGAUAGACGCAAGUUAAGCUGAUGAGUUUGUCUCUACCACAGGGGUACCUGCCUUUCCCCAGGAUCAGCCCGAUGGCAAUUCUGGGCCCAAGCUCUCCCUCCUUGAUCAGGUCCCAGUGGAAACAGCCCACAUUGCCUCUCACUUUUACUUUUCAAGCUAUCUGACAGUUAAAUCAGACGUGUCAGGAACCCAUUCCAACUCUUUAAGAGUCUGCACAGCUCUGUGUCCUACUGUCGGUCACUUAGCAAUGCAUCGUUAUAGGGUGACUGGAAUCACCCAAAAAAGUCAUAUGUUGAAGCCCUAAGCCCUAGUAUCUCAGAAUAUGACCUUCCUUGGAGAUGGGGUAUUUAAAGAGGUACUUAAGUUAAAAUGAGGUCAUUGGGGUGGCCCUACUGCAGUAUGACUGCUGUCUUUAUAAGAAGAGGAAAUUUGGAUGCAAAUACAUACAGAAGGAAGCCCAGGGGAAGACACAGGGCGAAGACAGCCAUCUGCAAGCUAAGGAGGGAGGCUUGGAGCAGAUCCUACUUCACAGCCCUCAGAAGGAACCAACCCUGCCAACACCUUGAUCUCAGGCUUCUAUCCUCCAGAACUGUAAGACAAUGAAUUUCUGCUUUUUAAGCCACGCAGGCUUGGAAUUUUGUUAUGAUGGACCUACCAAUUAUACAUGCAGCUCUCAGCAGACAACUUUGUUUUCCUUAUUUCCAACAUCUUGACACAGGGCCUCACUGUCCUGUACAAACUGUAAUAUCUAAAAAAAAAAUCCUCAAGAGAAUGACAUUAAGAUAGUUCAGCUCCGCAAAAUAAAAUGCUAUCCCAGGCUAAGUAUUCUUUUUAUCUUAACAACCACUAACAGGGCUGAAUGCACCUUCACUAACUCCGGAAGCUUAUCAAAGGUCUGUAGGUAAAGCUGAGUGUGAAGGCACUUCCAAAAGGGGUUUGGCCCAUCUGAAGUUGAAGAGACCAGCCUCACUCUGCUUCAGGGUCCUUCAGUCUCUUCAAAGAGAAAAUGGAACUUUUCAGCAUAUAAAUCCCAGGAAAGAGGGUGAACAAGCUAAAGCCCUUGAAUUUGUUCCAAGGAGGAUACUGUCUGUCUUAAAAUUAUAAGCCUAUGUGUGUUUUGUUUGUUUGUUUGUUUUUGUUUUUGAGACAGGGUGUCACUCUGUCACCCGGGCUGGAGUACAGUGACAUAAUCUCAGCUCACUGCAACCUCCGCCUUCCGCCUCAGCCUCCCUAGUGGCUGGGACUACAGGCAUGAGCCACCAUGCCCAGCUAAUUUUUGCAUUUUCUGUUAGAGACGGGGUUUUACCAUGUUGCCCAGGCUGGUCUCGAAUUCCGGGGUUCAAGUGAUCCACACAUCUCGGCCUCCUGAAGUGCUAGGAUUACAGGCAUAUGAGUUUUUAUGAUAAAAAUAAUGCUUGCUUUUAGAAAUUUUGGAAAAUGUAGAAAAUGCAGAAAAAAGAAGAAAAUCGCCAUAACUCUACCAUGCUGAGACCACCUGUGUUUAUAUUUUUGUAUAUUUUUGCUUUGUUCUAUAUAGUUGUAUUUCAUAAUUGGAUGCAGUUAUAUACACAAUUUUCAUACUUUUUUAGUUAUAAAGAAUUCCUCCAUGUUAUUAUAAUCUCUCUUCAAACAUCAUUUUAAAUGACUGUAAAAUAUCCCAUCAAGUUGAUCAGUUUUCUCAAAUGCGAACUGCAGAACAUCUGCAUCAAAAUUAUAUGUGGUAUGUUAAAAAUGCAGACUUUUGGAUCUCACCCCAGAUCCAUUAAAUCAAAAUCUCUAGGG
rnacentral:lncRNA from 10 species